rnacentral:sRNA from 1 species
GCGUUGCAGUCCCUACUGUGUGAAAGGCCCCCGCGGCGCUCCUGGCCGCCGUCUUCUUACCGCGCCGUUGGGCUCGCGUCCUGCCCGUCCGGGCCUCGCGUGGCGCUGCCGGGAACCCACGCGGCGCUGGCGCCUUCGAGGGACGCGUUCCCGUGUUUCUCACGCCCCGGGUUUCGCCGUGAAAAGGCGCUCGGUUUGAUGGCCAUCGUCCUGGGUUUCGUGGGAAUAAAGCGCGCAGAGCCCAUGACUCGGGGGCAGGAGAAAGGGGUUCCCGAAAGCGCGAGGCGGAACCGCGGGAGCUGCCGGGACGAGGCCGGCCUCUCUGCGAGCUUGCUCACUUCCGACAGAGAAAAACAAAAGGUGACAGUUCGCAUUCGGAGAAAAAGACGGCGAAGAGGAAGGGCUCGGCUGUCGAUGCGCCUGUCCAGGAGGAGAGUCCGGUAGCCAAGGAGGACAGCGCACUCCGUGGAGGAGGGGACAUUUGCAAAAGCGUAUCAUGUGACGACACCUCUGAUGGGGCAGGAGGGGCCUUUGCAGCUCAGGCGGAGGACUGUGAUGGAGAGAAGAGAGAGGACUUGGAACAGCUGCAGCAGAAGCAAGUCAAUGACCACCAACCAGAACAGCGUGGGAUGUUCACGGUCAGUGACCACCAACCAGAACAGCAUGGGAUCUUCACAAUGAGUGACGAUCGUCUAGAACAGCGUGGGAUGUUCACGGUCAGUGACCACCAACCAGAACGGUGUGAGAUCUUCACAAUGAGUGACGAUCGUCCAGAACAGCGUGGGAUGUUCACAGUCAGUGACCACCAACCAGAACGGUGUGGGAUCUUCACAAUGAGUGACGAUCGUCCAGAACAGCAUGGGAUGUUCACAGUCAGUGACCACCAACCAGAACAGCGUGAGAUCAUCACAAAGGCGUGUGAACAAGAAUGUGAACUUGCCAUUACUGACUUGGAGAGCGGCCGUGAAGAUGAGGCUGGCUUGCAGCAGAGUCAGGCCGUGCAUGGCCUUGAACUGGAGGCGCUGCGCCUGAGUCUGAGCAACAUGCACACGGCGCAGCUGGAGCUGACACAGGCCAACCUCCAGAAGGAGAAGGAGACGGCACUGACGGAGCUGCGGGAGAUGCUUAACAGCCGGCGUGCCCAGGAGCUGGCCCUGCUACAGAGCAGGCAGCAGCACGAGCUGGAGCUCCUCAGGGAGCAGCACGCACGGGAGAAGGAGGAGGUGGUGCUCAGGUGUGGACAGGAAGCAGCUGAGCUGAAGGAGAAGUUACAAUCAGAAAUGGAGAAAAACGCCCAGAUAGUAAAGACCCUGAAGGAAGACUGGGAAUCUGAAAAAGAUUUAUGUUUAGAAAAUCUACGCAAAGAAUUGUCUGCAAAGCAUCAAUCAGAAAUGGAGGAUUUACAAAACCAGUUUCAUAAAGAAUUGGCAGAACAGAGAGCUGAGUUGGAGAAGAUUUUUCAAGACAAAAACCAGGCUGAAUGGGCCCUGAGGAACCUGGAGAGUCAUCAUCAAGCAACCAUUGAGAAGUUACGUGAAGACCUGCAGUCCGAGCACGGCCGGUGUUUAGAAGACUUGGAGUUCAAGUUCAAAGAGAGCGAGAAAGAAAAACAGCUGGAGUUAGAGAAUCUUCAAGCAUCAUAUGAAGACCUGAAGGCGCAAUCACAAGAAGAGAUCAGGCGCUUGUGGUCCCAGCUUGAUUCUGCCAGGACCAGUAGACAGGAAUUGAGUGAGCUACAUGAGGAACUCCUGGCGCGCGCCUCUCACGUGGAAGAUUUAGAACAGCUGAAGCAGCGAGAAAAAACCCAGCAUGAGUCCGAACUGGAGCAACUGAGGAUUUAUUUUGAAAAGAAAUUAAGGGAUGCUGAGAAAACUUACCAAGAAGACCUAACCUUGUUACAGCAGAGGCUGCAGGGGGCGAGCGAAGAUGCUCUUCUGGACUCUGUGGAAGUUGGGUUGUCCUGUGUGGGUUUAGAAGAGAAACCUGAGAAAGGAAGAAAAGAUCACAUUGAUGAACUCGAGCCUGAGCAACAUAAGGAGAGACUGCCGUGCUUCCAGGCGGAGUUAGAAGAAAGCCACAGGCACCAGUUGGAAGCGCUGGAGUCUCCCGUCUGCAUCCAGCACGAGGGGCAUGUCUCAGACAGAUGCUGUGCAGAGACUUCAGCGUUGGGACACGGGUGGUGUCUGGAGCCCUCUGAAGGGCACAGCCAAGAGCUUCCCUGGGUGCAUCUCCAGGGUGUGCAGGAUGAGGACUUGGAGGCCAACACAGAGGUGGCAGCCAGAGUCUUGGGUCUGGAAACUGAGCACAAGGUUAAACUUUCGCUUCUUCAGACUGAGCUCAAGGAAGAAAUUGAACUCCUAAAAAUAGAAAAUAGAAAUUUGUACGAGAAGCUGCAGCAUGAAACCCGUCUGAAGGAGGAUUUGGAGAAGGUAAAACACAAUCUAGUUGAAGACCACCAGGAGGAACUAAAUAAUGCUAAGCAAAAGACUGAGCUGAUGAAACAGGAAUUCCAAAAAAAAGAAAUGGACUGGAAAGCUAUGAAGGAGGAGCUACAGCGGGAAGCUGAGGAGAAGUUAACGUUGAUGCUUCUUGAACUGAGAGAAAAGGCUGAAUCCGAGAAACAGACCAUCAUAAACAAGUUUGAGCUUCGAGAAGCUGAAAUGAGGCAGCUUCAGGACCAACAGGCAGCCCAGAUCCUGGAUCUGGAGAGGUCCUUGACGGAGCAGCAGGGCCGCCUGCAGCAGCUGGAACAGGACCUCACUUCAGACGACGCCCUGCAUUGCAGCCAGUGUGGGCGGGAGCCGCCCACAGCCCAGGAUGGGGAGCUUGCCGCACUCCACGUGAAGGAAGACUGCGCCCUGCAGCUGAUGCUGGCCCGGAGCAGGUUUUUAGAGGAACGUAAAGAGAUCACCGAGAAAUUCAGUGCUGAACAAGAUGCUUUCCUGCAGGAGGCCCAGGAGCAGCACGCCCGCGAGCUGCAGCUCCUGCAGGAGAGACACCAGCAGCGGCUCCUGUCAGUGACAGCGGAGCUCGAGGCCAGACACCAGGCCGCGUUGGGCGAGCUGACAGCCUCCUUAGAGAGCAAGCAGGGGGCUCUGCUGGCCGCACGUGUGGCCGAACUGCAGACAAAACAUGCUGCCGACCUCAGCGCUCUGGAGACCAGACAUCUGUCCAGCCUUGAUUCUUUGGAAUCCUGUUACCUGUCUGAAUUUCAGACCAUCCGUGAGGAGCACAGGCAGGCCCUAGAGCUCUUACGAGCAGACUUUGAGGAACAACUGCGGAAAAAGGACUGUCUUCACCAAACGAUUUUGACUCAAGAGUUGGAGAAACUGAAGCGGAAACAUGACGGGGAGCUACAGUCUGUGCGGGACCGCCUGCGAACCGAAGCGAGCACAGAGCUUGCCGGAACCGUGGCUCACGAGCUGCAGGGAACACACCAGGGUGAAUUUGGAAGUGAAAAGAAAACUGCUUUGCAUGAAAAAGAGGAGACACUUCAGCUUCAGAGUGCACAGGCACAGCCUUUUCACCAAGAGGAGAAAGAGUCUUUGUCUCUGCAGCUUCAAAAGAAGAAUCACCAAGUCCAGCAGCUGAAAGACCAGGUUUUAUCCUUAAGUCACGAGAUAGAAGAGUGCCGCUCCGAGCUGGAGGUGCUGCAACAGAGGCGGGAGCGGGAGAACCGGGAAGGCGCAAACCUCCUCUCCAUGCUCAAGGCCGACGUCGACCUGUCCCACAGCGAAAGAGGGGCCCUUCAGGACGCCCUGCGCAGGCUGCUGGGUUUGUUUGGAGAGAUGCUGAGGGCAGCCAUAACCCUGAGGAGCCGGAUCGGGGAGCGUGUGGGGCUCUGCCUGGAUGACGCGGGCGCAGGCCUGGCCCCGUCGGCAGCUCCGGCGCUGGAGGAGACGUGGUCUGAUGUGGCCCUCCCGGAGUUGGACAGAACUUUGUCUGAAUGUGCAGAGAUGUCUUCCGUGGCUGAAAUCAGCAGCCACAUGCGUGAGAGCUUUCUCAUGAGCCCAGAAAGCGUGCGGGAAUGUGAGCAGCCCAUCCGGAGGGUCUUCCAGAGCCUCAGCCUGGCCGUGGACGGCCUCCUGGAGAUGGCCCUGGACUCCAGCAGGCAGCUGGAAGAAGCACGCCAAAUUCAUUCUCGUUUUGAAAAAGAAUUUAGUUUUAAAAAUGAGGAGACAGCACAGGUUGUCAGGAAGCACCAGGAGCUGCUGGAGUGCUUGAAGGAGGAGAGCACAGCAAAGGCAGAGCUGGCGCUGGAGCUGCACAAGACUCAGGGUACCCUCGAGGGAUUCAAGGUGGAGACAGCAGAUCUGAAGGAGGUGCUGGCCGGGAAGGAGGAUUCCGAGCACCGUCUGGUGCUGGAGCUGGAGAGCCUGAGACAGCAGCUGCAGCAGGCGGCCCAGGAGCAGGUGGCGCUGAGGGAGGAGUGCACCCGUCUGUGGAGCUGGGGGGAGGCCGCAGCCACGGACGCCGAGGUCAGAGAAGCUGCUCUCCGGAAGGAAGUGGAGGAUCUGACCAAAGAACAGUCGGAGACCAGGAAGCAGGCCGAGAAGGACCGCUCAGCCCUGCUCUCCCAGAUGAAGAUUUUGGAGUCUGAGUUAGAAGAACAGCUGUCUCAGCAUCGCGGGUGUGCCAAGCAGGCGGAGGCCGUCACUGCCCUGGAACAGCAGGUGGCAUCUCUGGACAAGCAUUUGCGCAACCAGCGGCAAUUCAUGGAUGAGCAGGCUGCUGAGCGGGAGCACGAGCGCGAGGAGUUCCAGCAGGAGAUUCAGAGGCUGGAGGGGCAGCUCCGCCAGGCGGCCAGGCUGCAGCCCUGGGGCCCUCGCGACAGCCAGCAGACGCCCCUGAAUGGAGAGGUUGAGUUGUUACAACAAAAGUUGAGAGAAAAGUUGGAUGAAUUUAAUGAAUUGGCUAUACAGAAAGAGUCGGCAGAUAGACAAGUGUUAAUGCAGGAAGAAGAAAUUAAACGUCUGGAGGAGAUGAACAUCAACAUCAGGAAAAAAGUGGCCCAGCUCCAGGAAGAAGUGGAAAAACAGAAAAACAUCGUGAAAGAGCUGGAACAGGAUAAAGAGGUGUUAAAGAAACAGCAGAUGAGUAGCUUGCUUCUGGUGUCCACAUUGCAGUCUACACUAGAUGCAGGCAGAUGUCCCGAGCCUCCUUCAGGCAGCCUUCCUGAGGGUCCAGAAGUACAGUUAGAGGUGACACAGAGCGCGCUCCUGCAGCGCGAGAGCGAGGUUUUGGACUUAAAAGAACAGCUAGAAAAGAUGAAAGGUGACUUAGAAAGUAAAAAGGAAGAAAUACUACAUCUGAACUUAAAAUUAGACAUGCAGAACAGCCAGACUGCUAUCAGCCUCAGAGAACUUCAGGAAGAGAACACGAGCUUGAAGGUCGUAUAUACCAGAAGUUCUGAGAUUGAAGAGCUGAAAGCCACUAUUGAAAGUCUGCAAGAGAACCAGAAACGAUUACAAAAGGAGAAAGCAGAGGAAAUUGAACAACUCCAUGAAGUCAUUGAGAAGCUGCAGCACGAGCUGUCCGUCAUGGGGCCCGUGGUGCACGAAGUCAGCGACAGUCAGGCUGGCAGUCUGCAGAGCGAGCUGCUCUGCUCCCAGGCCAGGGGCCCUCGUGGGCAGGCCCUGCAGGGCGAGCUCGAGGCUGUGCUGGAAGCCAAGGAGGCCCUGAGCCGGCUGCUGGCUGACAAGGAGCGUGGGCACAGCCAGGCCCUGGAGGCCCUGCAGCAGCGCCUCCAGGGCGCAGAGGAGGCUGCGGAGCGGCAGCUGGCUGAGCUGGAGCGCAGUACAGCCCUCAGGGAGGCUGAGGUCAAAGGCAUGGCCUCCCGGAUCCAGGAGUUCGAAGCAGCCCUGAAAGCAAAGGAAGCGAUGAUUGCCGAGAGAAAUUUAGAAAUUGACGCACUGAACCAGCGGAAGGUGGCCCACUCUGCCGAGCUGGAGGCCGUCCUGUUGGCCUUGGCCUGUAUCCGCCGCGCCCUGGAGCAGCAGCCCCUGGCAGCCGGGGCGGAGCCUCCUGAGCUGCAGCAGCUCCGAGCGCAGUGUGGCCGCCUCAGCCGCCAGCUGCAGGUGCUGCACCAGCGGUUCCUGAGGUGCCAGGUGGAGCUGGACAGGCGGCAGGCCUCCAGAGCCACAGUUCACACGCGGGUGCCCGGGGCCCACCCACAGCCUCGCGUGGAUGGUGGCGCCAAGGCCCAGGUCGCCGGCGAUGUGGAGGCCUCCUGUGAUGCUGCUUUGGAACCUGUUGUCCCUGACCCACAGGGUGAUCUGCAGCCCGUCCUGGUGACGUUGAAGGACGCACCUCUCUGCAAGCAAGAAGGCAUAAUGUCGGUGCUCACCGUCUGCCAGAGGCAGCUGCAGUCGGAGCUGCUCUUGGUGAAAAAUGAAAUGCGCCUGAGUCUGGAGGACGGCGGCAAGGGUGAGGAAAAAGUACUGGAAGAUUGUCAGCUGCCAAAGGUUGAUCUCAUAGCUCAGGUGAAACAACUUCAGGAAAAACUGAACCGUUUGCUGUAUUCCAUGACCUUCCAGAAUGUGGAUGCUGCCAACACCAAAUCUCCGUGGCCCUUGGCCUCAGCACACCCGUUGGAGAGCAGCUGGAGUGAUGAUUCCUGUGACGGAGAAGAGCCUGACAUAUCACCCACCAUAGACACGUGUGAUGCCAAUACAGCCACGGGGGGUGUAACUGAUGUUAUCAGAAAUCAGGCCAUAGACGCAUGUGAUGCCAAUACAGCCAUGGGGGGUGUAACUGAUGUUAUCAAAAAUUGGGAUUCCUUGAUACCAGAUGAAAUGCCAGAAUCUCCCAUUCAAGAAAAAUCAGAAUGUCAGGACAGGUCCCUUUCUUCACCGACCAGCGUGCUUGGCGGCCCCCACCACCAGAGCCACACUGCAGAGGCUGGGUCCCGGAAGAGCCCGGUCGGGAUGCUGGACCUGUCUUCCUGGAGUUCCCCUGAGGUCCUCAGGAAGGACUGGACCCUGGAGCCCCGGCCCAGCCUCCCUGUGACACCCCACUCAGGAGCCCUGAGCCUGUGCAGUGCUGACACAUCCCUGGGGGACAGGGCGGACACCUCGCUGCCACAGACGCAGGGACCGGGGCUGCUUUGUUCCCCGGGUGUGUCCGCAGCAGCGCUGGCCCCGCGGUGGGCCGAGUCUCCGCCGGCUGACGACCACCAUGUGCAAAGGACGGCUGUGGAGAAAGAUGUUGAAGAUUUUAUCACAACAUCCUUUGAUUCUCAAGAAACAUUAAGUUCUCCUCCUCCUGGAUUAGAAGGAAAAACUGAUAGAAGUGAGAAAAGUGACGGCUCGGGUUUUGGAGCAAGACUGAGCCCGGGGUCAGGAGGCCCUGAGGCUCAACCUGCUGGUCCUGUGACCCCUGCUCCCGUCUCUGGAAGGUUUCAGCCGCUGCCGGAAGCCAUGAAGAAGGGAGUGCAUCCGAAGCACGUGAAGGCUUUGCUGCAGAUGGUGCGUGACGAGAGCCACCAGAUCCUGGCGCUGUCAGAAGGCCUUGUACCCCCGAGCGGCGAGCCGCGCCCACCCCGGAAGGAAGACGAGGUACAGGACGGCUCGCUCCAUGGGGGAAAGACGCAGGAAGUGCCCACCACGUGCCCCGAUUGGAGAGGAGACCUUCUGCAGGUUGUGCAAGAGGCAUUUGAAAAAGAGCAGGAGCUGCAGCCCCGACACAGUGGCUCAGAUCCGGGGGAUCACAGCUCCCUGCUUGAAAGGCUGGAGAAGAUCAUCCGUGAGCAGGGAGACCUGCAGGAAAAGUCCCCGGAGCAUCUUCGCCUGCCGGACCGGAGCAGCCUGCUGUCCGAGAUCCAGGCUCUGCGCGCCCAGCUGCGCAUGACGCACCUGCAGAACCAGGAGAAGCUGCAGCACUUGCGCACGGCGCUGACAAGCGCAGAGGCGCGUGGGAGCCAGCAGGAGCACCAGCUGCGCAGGCAGGUUGAACUGCUGGCUUAUAAAGUAGAGCAGGAGAAGUGCAUUGCUGGUGACUUGCAGAAGACGCUGAGUGAAGAGCAAGAGAAAGCAAACGGCGUGCAGAAGCUCCUGGCGGCGGAGCAGACUGUGGUGCGAGAUUUGAAGUCCGACCUCUGUGAGAGCAGGCAGAAGAACGAACAGCUGUCCCGGUCCCUCUGCGAGGUGCAGCAGGAGGUCCUCCAGCUGAGAUCCAUGUUGAGCAGUAAGGAGAACGAGCUGAAGGCCACGCUUCAGGAGCUGGAGACUGAGCAGGGGAAGGGGCGUGUCCUGCAGAGCCAGCUGGAGGAGGAGCAGCUGCGGCACCUGCAGAGGGAGGGCCAGAGUGCCAAGGCCUUGGAGGAGCUGCGGGCGUCUUUGGAGACACAGCGUGCUCAGAGCAGUCGACUCCGCGUGGCACUGAAACACGAGCAGACGGCCAAGGACAACCUGCAGAAGGAGCUGCGCAUCGAGCACUCACGCUGCGAGGCCUUGCUGGCUCAGGAGCGGAGCCAGCUCUCUGAGCUCCAGAAGGACCUUGCAGCUGAGAAGAGCCGCACCCUGGAGCUGUCAGAGGCCUUGCGGCAUGAGCGGCUCCUGACGGAGCAGCUGAGCCAGAGGACACAGAAGGCUUGCGUGCACCAGGACACACAGGCCCAUCACGCUCUGCUGCGGAAGCUGAAGGAGGAGAAGUCCCGGGUGGUGGACUUGCAAGUGAUGCUUGAAAAGGUGCAGCAGCAAGCCCUGCAUUCUCAGCAGCAGCUUGAGGCUGAGGCUCAGAAGCACUGUGAGGCGCUGAGGAGAGAGAAGGAGCGAGAAUUAGAACUGCAGCGUCAGCGUGACUUGCAUAAGAUCAAGCAGCUUCAGCAGACGGUUAGAGACCUGGAGUCGAAGGACGAGGUGCCUGGCAGCUGCCUCCACCUGGGUUCUGCCCGCAGGGCUGCCGGCUUGGAUGCGGACCACCUCCGGGAACAGCAGCGAGAGCUGGAGGCGAUGAGGCAGCGGCUGCUCUCUGCUGCCCGGCUUCUCACCAGCUUCGCUAGCCAGGCCGUGGACAGGACAGUUAAUGAUUGGACGUCAUCCAGUGAGAAAGCAGUGAUGUCUUUACUGCACACGUUGGAGGAGCUGAAGUCUGACUUGAGCAGGCCCAUCUCCUCCCAGAAAAAAAUGGCAGCAGAGCUGCAAUUCCAGUUUGUGGACGUCCUGCUGAAAGACAAUGUUUCCCUCACAAAAGCCCUCAGCACGGUGACCCAGGAGAAGCUGGAGCUGAGCAGAGCCGUGUCUAAGCUUGAGAAGAUGCUGAAGCACCAUCUGCAGAAGGGCUGCAGCCCGAGCAGGUCGGAAAGAUCUGCUUGGAAGCCAGACGAAACGGCUCCACAGAGUUCCCUGAGGCGCCCAGACCCCGGCCCGCUUCCACCAGCUGCCAGCGCGGAAGCGCACACCAGCAGCGUCAAGAUGGAAAAAUUGUACCUACGUUAUUUGAGAGCAGAGAGCUUUAGAAAAGCUCUGAUUUAUCAAAAGAAGUAUCUUUUGCUGUUGAUUGGAGGAUUCCAGGAUUCUGAACAAGAAACACUCUCCAUGAUUGCCCAUUUGGGGGUAUUUCCUUCCAAAGCAGAACGGAAAAUCACAUCUCGUCCUUUCAGCAGGUUCCGCACGGCCGUCAGGGUGGUCAUUGCAAUAUUGAGAUUACGUUUUUUGGUUAAGAAAUGGCAAGAAGUAGAUCGGAAAGGAGCUCUGGCACAAGGCAAAGCCGCUCGCCCAGGGCCCCGAGCACGACGGCCGCAGUCUCCACCCAGAACCAGAGAGUCCCCCCCAACCCGGGAUGUACCCUCUGGCCACACCAGGGACCCCGCCAGAGGCCACAGACUGGCAGCAGCAGCCUCCCCACACAGUGGGGGAAGAGCCACUCCAUCCCCAAAUUCAAGAUUAGAAAGAUCCCUGACUGCUUCUCAAGAUCCAGAACAUUCCUUGACAGAGUAUAUUCACCAUUUAGAAGUGAUCCAGCAAAGAUUGGGAGGGGUACUACCAGAUUCUACUUCAAAGAAAUCCUGCCACCAGAUGAUUAAACAGUGAAUAAAAUGUCAUGGCUCUUACCUGCGACAAUUCUAUUUGAGGAAAAGAUUUGUUUUUCCCUUUUCCCAAGGAAGCUCGUGGGACAGCAUGGGCACUACUCUUCACAUGCGGUGACACCAGCCCCCAGAUGCCUUGAAUUAAGUGUCCUCACCUUUAUGCAUGACUGCAAAGCCAGAUGGAGCAUUUUCUAUGGAGCCUCCAUAUGUUUUAGGACCGUGAUCUUCGUGAGGUGACAGGCACUUACUCCCAUGAGCCCUGGCUGUGUGCUGUUGUGUGCCUAUCGGCAGAUCCAUCCUUCCUGCCUGCAAGAAGGAUACACAGAGAAUAACUUCCUGUUGUUUUGUUUAUUUGCUUAAUGUGUACAGAUGGAAGCUUCAUUUAAAAAUAAAAACAAAACAACUCAAAAAGGAAUAAAAUUUAAUCACUGUUUUGUUUGUGAAUA